ACUCCUACGGGAGGCAGCAGUGAGGAAUUUUGCACAAUGGGCGCAAGCCUGAUGCAGCGACGCCGCGUGUACGAUGAAGGCCCUUGGGUCGUAAAGUACUGUCAAGUGGGACGAAAACCUUUUGAUGAAUAGUCAAAGGGUCUGACGGUACCGCUAAAGGAAGCACCGGCUAACUCUGUGCCAGCAGCCGCGGUAAUACAGAGGGUGCAAACGUUGCUCGGAAUUAUUGGGCGUAAAGCGCGUGUAGGCGGUCUUUUAAGUCUUUGUGAAAGCCCCAGGGCUCAACCCUGGAAGUGCAGAAGAUACUGGAAGACUAGAGACUCGGAGGGGAUGGCGGAACUCCCAGUGUAGAGGUGAAAUUCGUAGAUAUUGGGAAGAACACCGGUGGCGAAGGCGGCCAUCUGGACGAGUUCUGACGCUGAGACGCGAAAGCGUGGUAGCAAACAGGAUUAGAUACCCCUGGUAGACUGUCA
rnacentral:rRNA from 1 species